UGACAGGGUCAGCAGACUGUCACUGUGAAAAUAGAAGGUGACGUCAUCCUUCAGACAUGAAAUGGAGCUGUCACAAGAAUGCUCCAGCCUGCAAGUUGACAGCAAUGAGAUUUAAUCUCCGAACAGCUUCUGCAUUCGCAAUGGAGAGACCAAAUGGCCUGGACUUCCCCCCACUUUAGCUCAGAUGCUUAGUGUUUGGUUUUUAACAUUAUUUUAAGAAAGGUUUUCGCACAUUUGUAUUUUGGA